UCUCCCAACUCUAUGAUUCUAUGAUUCUAUGAUCCUUCCGAGGUCACUAAAAUGAGUUCCCAGCUUGUUUGGGGCAAUUACUUACACAUUGUCAACUGGGGACUGCUUAAGUGCAUUGAUAAGUGGUAUAAAAAUAUACCUGCUAUUAUUAUUAUUAUUAUUAUUAUUAUUAUUAUUAUUAUUAUUAUUAUUAUCCUUUAUUUAUAAAGCGCUUUAAAUUUACACAGCGCUGUACAUACAAUCUUUUUAGUUGGACGGUUCCCUCCCCUCAGGCUUCCAAUCUAAAAAACUUGCUAUUGUUGCUAUGUAUAGCUACUUGAGUGUUGAAUCAGAAUCUGUCUUUAUAUUUGGCACUGAAGAAUGAGUCCCUUUGCUGGCACAUAUGUUUUAUUGGCAGGAUAUCAUAGAUGGAAUGCUAGCUGUUUUCCUGGUUUUCACUGUCCUAGAGUUCUGCAUUGCCAUCUCUACUGCUGCCUUUGGGUGCAAGACUGUGUGCCGGGAUGCCUAUUCUGAAACGGUUGUGGUGGUUUAUCAGAACAUGACCCCCAACAACGCUACUAGUCAGACCACUGAUUUCAAGGAUCCUGAGGCUCUCUGAACCCAACUUCCUUCAACCCAACUCUUCUGAACUUCUGUCUCGUACUGGAACACCAAGGGCAAGAUGAUUAAAUAUGUAUCUAUAAACCAAAGUGUUCUCUUAGCUAAUACUUGAAUAAAUGUGGAGAGAUGUUGAUAAUGUAGAAUGGAUCUUUUGAGGCAACUUUGGAUAUUUAUUUGCAGUUCUUCCACUUUCACGGGGGUCCUGUGCCCCCAACCCCAGCAAAUGUGGAGUUUCCACUGUAAUGUAUUAGGCACAUUAUAAACAUAUCUUUCUGGUGUUUAAAAGUUCUUGAUUUUGAUUCAGAUCCAGUUGCUAAUCCUAAGUAAGUAGACCCAUUAAAUCAAUUAGAUUUACAUAGGUGUGGAUUUGCCAUUCGGCAGCUGAUUCAGCGGAUUUAUUUUAGCAAGGGCUAGGAAUGGGAUUUAGGCCAAAAUGUUUUCCUGUGUCUUACUAUGUUUUCAACACCUAAGAAUGGGCUUCCAACUCUCCCAGCAAUUUGUAUACUUUUCUCUGUAAACUUUAUGUUUCUGACUGUUCACAAUUGCUUUAAGAAAUGAAUUAUCAAUUUAGAGAUUUGAAAAUUAAAGAAAUUCAAUAUGAAGGUCUUUGUUACUGA